GGGGGUGUCUUCACUUCUAGGGGCUCCUCUGACCCAGCACUGCCACAUCCAUGUGCCCCGGCUGCCAUGGGAAAACCUCUUCAGGGCCAUCAAAGGAGGCCAUUGCCUCACAGCCCCCCUUCCCAUGCCUGCUGGGAGCCACACCAGGACCCUCCAUGGGGGGCAUCUGUCCAGGGCCCAUGUGGGGGCUGUGCUGCUGCAACACCCUCAGCAGAGGCGGUGGUGGCGGCAGGAGAGGAGGCCUGGCUGCAUCCUUCCUUCCAUCGUCUUUGACACUCUCUUCCUCUCUGAGCACCUGUCCCCCAGGGUGACCCUGAAGCUCAGAGGCUCCCUGACCCCACAGGACCCUGCUCCUCCCGGUGGGACUGUGGUGACCAGAGCUUCGUCUCCUCCCCAGGUCCCCCAGGCACAUUUUUCAGAGAGAAGCCCCUCCCUCCCUCAUUACAGCUGCCCUUGCCCGGGAACUCUGAGUGUGGCUCUGGGAAUCCCACAGGGAUCGCUAUGGUGGGGUCGACAGGGCCUCAGAGACCAAGGCUGGCCCCUGCCUUCACAGGUGGGGAAACUGAGGCACGGGGAGUGGUCAAGUGCCUGAGUCUCAUACCGGUCUGGGACAGAGACAACGGGCCUGUGGUGCUGCCCCCGCCAGUUCAGGGGCUUGGGUGUGAGCCCGCACAUCCACCCCAGUUUUCCCUGUAGAAGCCAGGGGAGCAGAAGGCCACGGUCCUCUGCCGCCCGUCCCUUCACCACCUGAGCUGGAGAGAAGGGCAGUGUUUUGCUGAGAGGGUGGUGGUAACUUCCUCAAGUCUGAGAAAGAGGGACGAGGCAUCGCUUUGGGCGACAAUGGACACGGGGGUUGCGGCAGUGCAGAGACCGGCUGGGUGUAGACACAUUCGUCCUGCAGCCUGCGAGGCCCAGAAUGCCAGCAAGAACAGGGCUGUCUGCCAGCAAAAGAGAGCCAGACCGCCGAUGGCUCCAGGGACAUCCCCUGCGGGAAGGCCCUCAUCACAGCCGGCAAGGGAGACGGAUGCUGGGAUGGGGAGGCUCCCGGGGGAGGGACACGGUCCCCAUAGUAGGAGACCCCGACUGGAUCGGGCUUGGCUUCCCUGGGGGUAGAUGCCGUGCUCGGGAUGCUGUCAAAGAAGCAGAAGAGAGCAGAACAGAAGACACUGCCGCAGUCUGGACCAGCGAGUCACCUCUCUUUAGACCAAGGAGCACACGUCACCGCCCAUCGUGUCCACUAGUGGGCAGAGAUCUCCCCUCAGAGUACUGGUCUGGUCGAGGACUGGAAGGAGCCGUUACAACAGGGCUGUCCACAGCCCCCACAGGCCUGCACAUCAAGGCAAAGGAAAUCUCAACAACGCCCUCCAUAAACGUGGGGACUCUGAUCCUCACAUGGAGCUGGUGACCCAAAUCGUGUCCUCUGCCAGAAACACAAUUCAGAUAAAAAUAGAAAAUGGGGCAAAGGGGAGAGCCCGCUCUUUACAGAAACCCACAAGUCUCGUGUUCCUGUGUCUGUGCCUUGGCCUGAAGGCUGGGGAGCUCUCUGUGUCUUUCCGUGUGUGUGUGUACGAGGGCACUGUGCGUGGUGUCUCCCGACCUCUGGAUGGUGUUAUCAAAUCCAUUGGUGAAAUUCCUGAAAGCUGACUUCUCUGCUCUGUUGGCUUAGACGUAAAUAAGUGCUUAUAUCCUUGAGAUCGUCCCAAAAGUCUCACAAAUAUCAAAGCCCACCCAAAUGCUGUUGAAGUUCACAUAAUUUGGGUAAAUAUUUGGUAAGUAAGACUAGCUUCAUAUUGUUGGUUUAGUGAAAAAGGCUGUGUCCUCUGAGUUACUAGCAUUGCAUUUAACGUGAGCAUACAUUUUUGUUCUUUUUGGGUUUACUAGUCACAUAAGCUAAGGUUCUACCUACAAGAUGUAAAACCGUGAAAAUUAUAAAUUCGGACUGAGAGUAAAAGUACGAGUAAUGAUGAGUUUGGUGUGCAGCUUGAACAGAUUGCUUCAUACCCAUUACUUCAUAGACAUCGAGUCCCCCAGUAAAACAGGAAAAGGGGCUGGGCGAGGGGAGACAGGGGCUGGCCCAGUGGCCCAGCGGCAUAAGUUCCCGCACUUCACUUCGGCGGCCCAGGGUUUCACCAGUUCAGAUCCCGGGCGCCGCUCAUCAAGCCAUGCUGAGGCGACAUCCCACAUAGCAGAACCAGAAGGACCUACAGCUAGAAUAUACAACUGUGCACUAGGGGGCUUUGGGAGGAAGGAAAAAAAAGGCUUAAAAAUAAAUUAAAAAAAACAAACAACAAAAUCUGAUAGACACAUAGAGAGGGCCAUCUGUAUCCAUGGGCUCAGCAUCCAAGGAGCGAAAGGCUUACGAUGGCUGCAUCUGUACGGAACAUGUACAGACCGUUUUCUUGUCACCAUCCCCCACACAAUACAGUAUAACAACUAUUUCCACAGCAGUUACGUUAUAUCAGCUCUUAUAAGUACUCUGGAGAUGAUGUGAGGGACACGGGAGGAUAUGCGUAGGUCGUGUGCAAACACUACGCCCUUCUAUAUAAGGGGCUUGAGCAUCGCAGAGUUUGGUACCGGGAGGGGCCCUGGAACUGAUGCCCCUGCAUACCAGGGAUGACCGGAACUAGUAAGGAGAAGGAUCGGUGGUCAAACACCUCCCAAGAAAGCAAGCCCAGGACUGGGUGCCCUCACUGGUGCUUCCACCAAACUUUUAAAAAGGAAUAAACAUACAUGCUCCUCAAACUCUUCCGAACAAUGAAGAGGCGGGGACACUUCCGAAUUCACUCUGUGAGGCCAGCGUUACCCUGACACCAAGGGCAGACAAACGACACACAGAGGGGUGGGGGAUGCAUGGAGGACACCAGGAGGGGACUGGGACUGGGAGCCCAGAGAAGGGAAAGGGGACAGACAGGAUCAACAUUGAGAGGUCUCAGUUUUACAGCUCUGAGGAGGGGGCCGGUGGCCUCAGAGAGGCCUCUGAAGGGCGAUUGGAAACUGGAGACCGCCGAGCUUCCUCCUGGGAUCUCCCCAAGGCAACCGCUCCUCAGUGAGAAGGAAGCAGGAUUUCUGCCAAUCAGCCCCUCCCAGCAGGCCCGGAGUUCACGCAGGCCCUCCUGGCCUGUGACUAAUGACUAAUGGUCCCGGGUAGAGUCUGACGGCUAGAAUCCUUGCAAACGGCGGAGACACACAGCCCAGCACCCGCCCUCCCCCAGUUCUCAUGGGUGGGGCACAAGGGUGCAAGGGGAUAUAUUCUGAGCCGCUGAGGAAGUGCCUCCAGAUGCUGGUUUCCUGAGUGUAGGCUGAAGCUAGCAGGAGCCAUGAAAGGCAUCUAUCUCGUCCUGCUGGCCGUGCUGCUGUGCUCCCAGCAAGGGGUCUAAACCCAGCUUCCUGCUGUCGGAGCUUGGUUGUGUCCCCGCCAAACCCCAGCCCUGAGCCUGCAGUGCUACAACUGCACUGAAGAAGAGGAUGUCAGCAAGUGCCAGACCACCAUCUCAUGUGACUCCACACCGAGCAUCUGCUAUAAGGGCGGCAGGACCUUGACCAAGACCAGUGGGCAGGUGGUCAAGUUACAUUCUAAGGGUUGUGCCUCUUCCUGCGAUGACGUUUAUGACAUGAUGGAGCAGCUGGUGGAGAAGAUGAUUUCAGAGGACAGGUCUAAGUUAGAACUGUGGGCUCCGGACUGCUGUGGAAAGGACCUCUGCAACAGGGUGGCCCAGGCUAUGCUUGGACUCCACCUCCUGCUACACCUGGGACCCAGAGACCCAGGGAAGGAGGCGGGCAGCAUCCACCCUCGGGUGACCCUCGGCCACUCCUGCCCUCCCACCUGGCCAGCCCCAGCCCCAGGCCCACCGCCCUGCUAUGCCAACAGGCCUGUCACACUUUGCGAACACCAUCAAUCAACCACAGACUCAAGAUGCAGAGACUGCCGAGCCCCGGCUGGACAGGGGCUGCUAGGAGAGCGGAGCCCAUAGCCCCUCAGCGGGUCCUCUGCAGAGCGCCCACGGCAGUCAGUAGACAAUAAAUGCUCUUCAGCCCCCUCCUGUUCUUCACAUGCCAUUCAGCCCCACGGUGGGGAGGUCGGGGGGAGUGUGUGUGGGGGUCUCUGCCACUUGCCUCCAAGGGAGCCUCUGGGGCAGCCCGGUGCUCCC
rnacentral:lncRNA from 1 species